rnacentral:rRNA from 1 species
GACGUAGGGUGCGAGCGUUGUCCGGAUUUAUUGGGCGUAAAGAGCUCGUAGGCGGCUCGUCGCGUCGACCGUGAAAACCCGCGGCUUAACUGCGGGCUUGCGGUUGAUACGGGCGGGCUAGAGUUCGGUAGGGGAGACUGGAAUUCCUGGUGUAGCGGUGAAAUGCGCAGAUAUCAGGAGGAACACCAAUGGCGAAGGCAGCUCGCUGGAACGGUACUGACGCUGAGGCGCGAAAGCGUGGGGAGCGAACAGG